rnacentral:rRNA from 1 species
GACGUAGGGCGCGAGCGUUUGUCCGGAUUUAUUGGGCGUAAAGAGCUCGUAGGCGGUUCAGUAAGUCAGGUGUGAAAUCUUUGGGCUUAACCCAAAGCGUGCACUUGAUACUGCUGUGACUUGAGUUCGGUAGGGGAGUGGGGAAUUCCUAGUGUAGCGGUGAAAUGCGCAGAUAUUAGGAGGAACACCGGUGGCGAAGGCGCCAACUCUGGGCCGAA